AUUUAACGCUGGCGGCAGGCCUAACACAUGCAAGUCGAGCGAGCGGCGGACGGGUGAGUAAUGUCUGGGGACUGCCCGAUAGAGGGGGAUAACUCCUGGAAACGGUAGCUAAUACCGCAUACUAUCGGAUAACCCAUAUGGGAUUAGCUAUUAGGUGAGGUAAUGGCUCACCUAGGCGACGAUCCCUCGCUGGUCUGAGAGGAUGAUCAGCCACACUGGGAAUGAGACACGGCCCAGAAUCCUACGGAGGCAGCAGUGGGGAAUAUUGCACAAUGGGCGCAAGCCUGAUGCAGCCAUCCCGCGUGUAUGAUGAAGGCCUUCGGGUUGUAAAGUACUUUUGGCAGAGAAGCGGUAUCUGCAGAAUAAGCACCGGCUAACUACGUGCCAGCCGCCGCGGUAAUUC
rnacentral:rRNA from 1 species